UACAGAGGGUGCAAGCGUUGUUCGGAAUUAUUGGGCGUAAAGCGCGUGUAGGCGGCUUUGCAAGUCGGGUGUGAAAGCCCUCAGCUUAACUGAGGAAGUGCGCCCGAAACUGCAGAGCUUGAGUACCGGAGAGGGUGGCGGAAUUCCCGGUGUAGAGGUGAAAUUCGUAGAUAUCGGGAGGAACACCAGUGGCGAAGGCGGCUCUCUGGACAGAUACUGACGCUGAGGCGCGAAAGCGUGGGAAGCAAACAGG
rnacentral:rRNA from 1 species